AGGAGACUCUCGAUAUCCCUGACGACAACAUCUGUCAGGAGGAAGAGCUGAUAGUGGAGGUGAGCGCCGACACCCGCCCCUCCCACUACCAGGAAUCUUUAGAUGAGAGCCCUCAGCUUAACACCUGUGAGAGGGAACGAGAUCAAACAGAUUCCACCAUCAUUGAAUCUGUCGUGGAGGAGCCCACGGAAGAGCCCAAGCCACCGUUCUGCCUGGUAAGCAGUAAAGGAGAUGGUAC